GAUGAACGCUGGCGGCGUGCCUAAUACAUGCAAGUCGAGCGAACGGACGAGAAGCUUGCUUCUCUGAUGUUAGCGGCGGACGGGUGAGUAACACGUGGAUAACCUACCUAUCAGACUGGGAUAACUUCGGGAAACCGUAGCUAAUACCGGAUAAUAUUUUGAACCGCAUGGUUCAAAAGUGAAAGACGGUCUUGCUGUCACUUAUAGAUGGAUCCGCGCUGCAUUAGCUAGUUGGUAAGGUAACGGCUUACCAAGGCAACGAUGCAUAGACGACCUGAGAGGGGGAUAGGCGACACGGGAAGUGGGACACGGUCAAGAGUCCUACGGGAGGGAGCAGAAGGGAACCUGACGCAAUGGGCGGAAGCCUGACGGAGCAACGGGGCGCGAGUGGUGAAGGUGUUCGGAGCGUGAAAAUCUGUUAUUAGGGGAGAACAGAUGUGGAAGUAACUGUGCACAUCGUGACGGUAACUAAUCAGAAAGCCACGGCUAACUACGUG
rnacentral:rRNA from 1 species